rnacentral:rRNA from 1 species
UACGGGAGGCAGCAGUGGGGAAUAUUGCACAAUGGGCGCAAGCCUGAUGCAGCCAUGCCGCGUGUAUGAAGAAGGCCUUCGGGUUGUAAAGUACUUUCAGUCGUGAGGAAGGUGUUAAGGUUAAUAACCUUAGCAAUUGACGUUAGCGACAGAAGAAGCACCGGCUAACUCCGUGCCAGCAGCCGCGGUAAUACGGAGGGUGCGAGCGUUAAUCGGAAUUACUGGGCGUAAAGGGCACGCAGGCGGUUAAUUAAGUUGGAUGUGAAAUCCCCGGGCUUAACCUGGGAAUGGCAUUCAAGCUGGUUAGCUAGAGUCUUGUAGAGGGGGUAGAAUUCCAUGUGUAGCGGUGAAAUGCGUAGAGAUGUGGAGGAAUACCGGGUGGCGAAGGCGGCCCCUGGGACAAAGACUGACGCUCAUGUGCGAAAGCGUGGGGAGCGAAACAGGGAUUAGAUAC